rnacentral:rRNA from 1 species
UACGAAGGGGGCUAGCGUUGCUCGGAAUUACUGGGCGUAAAGCGCACGUAGGCGGAUUGUUAAGUCGGGGGUGAAAUCCUGGAGCUCAACUCCAGAACUGCCUUCGAUACUGGCGACCUUGAGUCCGGGAGAGGCGAGUAGAACUCCGAGUGUAGAGGUGAAAUUCGUAGAUAUUCGGAAGAACACCAGUGGCGAAGGCGGCUCACUGGCCCGGUACUGACGCUGAGGUGCGAAAGCGUGGGGAGCAAACAGG